UUGAAGAAAAACUAGAUGCCGUGCUGUUUUGGUGGUUGUGAGCUCAAACAGGUGGUGAUUUGGAUUCCAAGUGGUGAAUGGUGAAGAUGGCUUAUCUCAAGAGUGCUUCACUUUACUCCAAUCUAGCUCUGCCAUUGAUGAAAGCUUGAAUGGAACAGUGGAGAAAAGGAACUUCCAGCACGAUUUUGAUGGUGGAAAUGAACUCAAUAUGCUGUCUAGGUGAAGAAAGGAUCACAGGUUUCUUGGGUGCUUUGAUGAUUUGUCCAAUUCGAGCAAAAAUGCAAAAAUGCAAGAAAGAGGAGAAUGUGUAUUUUCUGUGUGGUAGGCUGCAGAACUAGGGUUGGAAAUGCAGGAGAAUGGCUUAAAUAUCAUCUGUUAAUCAUCACUUAACCAUGUGCUAAGCUAACUUAGUGUAAAUGCCUUCAUUUGCAAAGUUGCUAAUUGGUAAGUAAGUGAACAAGGGAGGUGUGAAGCUGGUCGAUUAUGGGCUUGGACAGGCUGCUAGCAGACCAUUCAAAAUGCUGUUUGGUUGUACCUGUGAAAAGCUGUACUGAUUUUGCUUCAAAUGAAUCAAAA
rnacentral:lncRNA from 1 species